rnacentral:pre_miRNA from 1 species
CUAUUACUCCCUCCGUUCGGAAUUACUUGUCGCAGAAAUGGAUGUAUCUAGAUGUAUUUUAGUUCUAGAUACAUCCAUUUUCGAGACAAGUAAUUCCGAAUGGAGGGAGUACAUG